GUAGGUGAACCUGCGGAAGGAUCAUUACAAGUGAGGCUACCGAACGUUGGAAACAGCGGUUAGGAGCUUACACCCACCCGUGUUUACAUACUAUUGUUGCUUUGGCGGGCCGUGGCCUCCACUGCGGGCUCUGCUCGUGUGUGCCCGCCAGAGAACCAAACUCUGAAUGUUAGUGAUGUCUGAGUACUAUCUAAUAGUUAAAACUUUCAACAACGGAUCUCUUGGUUCUG
rnacentral:misc_RNA from 1 species